UGCAGGAAUGCUAUCUAACCAGUCUAAGGAAGUCCUUAUGCUGAGCGUCCUCUGAAUCAAUAGCUCGAUCUAAAAUGCUGUUGGAUGUUGCACUGGUACAAACAAUGCAGAUACAACUUAUGUCAGUUAAAAUAUUUACUAAAGUGUCUU